CAACGCUUAGCUUUCUGGAUAAUGGCGUUCGAACCGGCACAAGCCUGCAGCCUGAGAGUUUCUGCUUGAAUCUACCAGGGUCAGGCAAUCCUCUAGGCUGCUCAAAACUGACCUCCCUGUUCUUUCCAGAGAACAAGGAAGAACUUAGAGACACGAGUGUCACUGCUAAUGAACACAGAGGUGCUGAAAGCAGGGAAACAUGAUGCUGUUAGCACGGUGGUGUCCAUCAGCCACUGCUUUGGAUUCGCAAUCAGUGUAUUGCAAAGAGUCAAAAUGGAAGAGAGACAAUAAAGAAGACAAAGAUGCUUACUAGGAUCAGGAUAGUACCUGCGGCUCUGGCCUCAUGGGAAAAUCUGGGUGAGAGUCUGUUGCUUGUGCCUGUGUAGGGUAAGGACCAUGUGCCUACUAGUCCAGCUCAUGCAGCCCAAACAUACAACAUCAAUGGAAGAUAAUAUAACUGCAUGUAAGAAGCUGAUAAAUUUGUCUGGUGUGAGUGAGGAACAAUAUCCAUUAUCGUUUUUACACUUAUUGUUUUGCUGUUUCUUGGGCCACCUACUCUAAUAGGAAUGCAGAUGUAUACCAAGAGCUGUAGUAUCCAGAAAAGGAAACUACAGAAAUCAGUGCACUUUGGAGACUGAAUUCCGAGGUCCACCCACAAAGCGGUUCUGGGGCAAAACUUCAUGGCCUAGAAGCCACUCAGAAGACAGGGAGUGCUGAGAGAAACCUGAGAGAAACCCCUCUGACCACUCUGUGAAAAUAGAAGAAAAGUUUACAUCCACCAUCAUCAAAAAACUCUUGAGAGUCCCUUGGACUGCAAAGAGAUCAAAGGAGUCAAUCCUAAAGGAAAUCAGUCCUGAAUAUUCGUUGGAAGGACUGAUGCUGAAGCUGAAACUCCAAUACUGCGGCCACCUGAUGUGAAGAACUGCCUCAUUAGAAAAGACCCUAAUGCUGGGAAAGAUUGAAGGCAGGAGGAGAAGGGAAUAAUAGAGGAUGAGAUGGUUGGAUUGCAUCACUGACUCAAUGAACAUGAGUCUGAGCAAGCUCCGGGAGUUGGUGAUAGACAGGGAAGCCUGGCAUGCUGCAGUCCACGUGGUUGCAAAGAGUCAGACAAAACUGAGCAACUGAACUGAGCUGAGAGAUACACUAGAUACUGAAAAAGGAAACUGACUAUUGCUAACAAUUCAAUUCAUUAAAUAUACAUUUUUUAGUACAUAAGUCAAAUGGUAACAUAGCUAAUAUUUCUUCAAUAAUAUCAAGGUAAUAUUUUAUAAUUUUUUUAUUUUAUUUUUUUAUUUUUUAUUAGUUGGAGGCUAAUUACUUCACAGCGUUUCAGUGGGUUUGGUCAUACAUUGAUAUGAAUCAGCCAUGGAGUUACAUGUAUUCCCCAUCCCGAUCCCCCCUCCCACCUCCCUCUCCACCCGAUUCCUCUGGGUCUUCCCAGUGCACCAGGCCCGAGCACUUGUCUCAUGCAUCCCACCUGGGCUGGUGAUCUGUUUCACCAUAAAUAAUAUACAUGCUGUUCUUUGGAAACAUCCCACCCUCACCUUCUCCCACAGAGUUUAAAAGUCUGUUCUGUACUUCUGUGUCUCUUUUUCUGUUUUGCAUAUAGGGUUAUCGUUACCAUCUUUCUAAAUUCCAUAUAUAUAUGUGUUAGUAUGCUGUAAUGUUCUUUAUCUUUCUGGCUUACUUCACUCUGUAUAAUGGGCUCCAGUUUCAUCCAUCUUAUUAGAACUGAUUCAAAUAAAUUCUUUUUAAUGGCUGAGUAAUAUUCCAUGGUGUAUAUGUACCACAGCUUCCUUAUCCAUUCAUCUGCUGAUGGGCAUCUAGGUUGCUUCAAAAAUAUGGAACGCUUCAUGAAUUUGCGUGUCAUCCUUG